rnacentral:rRNA from 1 species
GAUGAACGCUGGCGGCGUGCCUAAUACAUGCAAGUCGAGCGAACAGACGAGGAGCUUGCUCCUCUGACGUUAGCGGCGGACGGGUGAGUAACACGUGGAUAACCUACCUAUAAGACUGGGAUAACUUCGGGAAACCGGAGCUAAUACCGGAUAAUAUAUUGAACCGCAUGGUUCAAUAGUGAAAGACGGUUUUGCUGUCACUUAUAGAUGGAUCCGCGCCGCAUUAGCUAGUUGGUAAGGUAACGGCUUACCAAGGCAACGAUGCGUAGCCGACCUGAGAGGGUGAUCGGCCACACUGGAACUGAGACACGGUCCAGACUCCUACGGGAGGCAGCAGUAGGGAAUCUUCCGCAAUGGGUGAAAGCCUGACGGAGCAACGCCGCGUGAGUGACGAAGGUCUUCGGAUCGUAAAACUCUGUUAUUAGGGAAGAACAAAUGUGUAAGUAACUAUGCACGUCUUGACGGUACCUAAUCAGAAAGCCACGGCUAACUACGUG